UUGGUGUUGUCGGUCCCGCGACUGUCUUGAGCCUGUCACCACCCAUGCAGUGCGUCUGCUGUGGUGCGCGGUUUCAAGCCUGGCCUCUGUGGUUGGAUGUCACGUGGGAGGUGUUUCUCACUUCUGGUUGUCACCCACCACGGAGUCAUGAAUGCUCUUGUAUGUGACCACUUGGCGUGUGUUACUUGACUUUGGAUUUUUCUCUAUCCCACUCCCAUUUGGAAAUAUCUUUUCUGCCUUCUUCACGUCCUUCCUGCCUAAAAGUCUUAGCUCAAGCCACAGCCUCUAGCACCUAUCGCC
rnacentral:lncRNA from 1 species